AAAUAAAUGGCAUUGAAAGAACAGGUGUUCAUAAUGUUUUGCACACUCAGUGUAUAUGUAAAUAAUCUAAAGGAAAUGUAAACAAACAUUGAAAUAAAUGUAAAGCCCAUUGAAGCGAAUGUAAUGCAUUUCACCACAGGGUAUUACACCUGUCAAAUUAAUCAAUCACUCACCACCAGCAUUUACUACAGGACAGAGUUCACGUCUCCGUGUUUCACAGCUGUGUUGUGAUUGGAUACGUUUUGCAGUUCUGGGCUCUCAUUGGAUGAGUUUGGCAGUUGUAGGCUUUCAUCUCACACUGUGUCAAUUGUUCCCAUUGAGUUUUUGUUGUAAAUUGACGUCAGCUGUUACUGUGUCAGACUGUCCUAUUAGGUCUCUGUUCUGACUGUCCUAGCAGGUCUCUGUUCUGACUGUCCUUGCAGGUCUCUGUUCUGACUGUCCUUGCAGGUCUCUGUUCUGACUGUCCUUGCAGGUCUCUGUUCUGACUGUCCUUGCAGGUCUCUGUUCUGACUGUCCUAGCGGGUCUCCACACCAUUCUGGGAGUACUAUUCUGUCUGUAAAGUCAAAUCCCCUGGUUGCUCGUUUUAUGUUUUCUAUUGUAAACAAUGAGAUGCUUUUGGAAUAAAAGUCUAAAGAAAAACAUUCCAGUUA